rnacentral:lncRNA from 1 species
CUUAUUACUUCGAGUCUAAUAUACUAGGGUUCAAUGAUAUGAUAUAAGGUUACGUACAGUUGAGAAAGGCUCUUUGAAUCUUGAUAUCGACUUAAUCACAUUAUAAGCAUGGCCGUAAACUUCUUUCCGUUUGUAUGAAGGUACGUAACAUUCUAAAACCGUACACACGUAUAGUCUUUUCACCUUUAUGCCAAACUUAAAGUUUCAUUUUUAUUAGACAUUUUAUUAUUUAUUCAGAUAUAAGUGGUGUUGGCCCAUUUUAUAUAUUACGGAUCGA